AACUGUUAAGGUGGUUUACAGAAAAAGAAGGCUAAGGCCUUACCUUUUGUAUCAGGGGAGUUUAAAAAUAAAAUAAGGUUUAGUCGAUUGAAACAGUUCUUUAGAGACUAAAGUCUAAGUUGAAUUUUAGCUACAAAGUUGUAAGAGGUGAAAAAUGUUCGGUGUUUUUGGUAUCUAAUUGCUUUGAUAUAAAGGGGAUAAGCUCUUUAUAGAUUACUUUAAAUUUAUUUGAGGGGGACUAGGCUUUAGAUUAGUCAGGUUAGUAAAUUGUUUUAAAUAAUUUUUCUUAGUUGUUGUGAGUAGUAUAAUUAGGCUAUAGUUAGUAAUUUGAUUUUCUAUAAAUAAUGAAUUCAUUGAAUAAAGUGUGGAAUAGUUAAAUAACUCAAAAAAUGUUAGAAAGUUUAACAAAAACAUUUUCGUUUGUUGGGUAAAAGAUAUGGCCUGCCCAGUGUGCUUAUUAACGGCUGCGGUAUUUUGACUGUGCUAAGGUAGCAUAAUCAUUUGUUUCUUAAUUGGUAGCUGGAAUGAAAGGUUGAACUAGCUUUUUAGUUUGUUCUGUUAAAUAUAAUCUUAAAGUUAAGGUAAGAAUUCUUUAAUUUUCUAGGGGACGAUAAGACCCUAGAAGCUUUAUAAUAGAUUAAGUUGUUUAUGAAAAUAUAAAUUUUAUUUUACUGGGGCGGUAUUAGUAUAUAAACUAUAGGUCAAUUAAUGGAUCCUUAAUAUAAAGAUAAAGUGGGUAAGUUACUCUAGGGAUAACAGUACAAUAUUUUUGGAGAGAUCUUAUCGAUAAAUAUGCUUGUAACCUCGAUGUUGAAUUAAGUAGUCUAUGCGAAGUAGAAGGUGCAUAAGAGGGUUUGUUCAACCUUUAAAGAUUUACAUGAUUUGAGUUCAAAUCGGUUUGAGCCAGAUUGGAUUUUAUCUCUAGACGGAAAAUUAAUCAGCUUAGUACGAAAGGGCCAGUUGAAGUUUGUUGGC
rnacentral:rRNA from 1 species